UCCGGUUUGUCACCGGCAGUCACCUUAGAGUGCCCAACUAAAUGCUGGCAACUAAGAUCAAGGGUUGCGCUCGUUGCGGGACUUAACCCAACAUCUCACGACACGAGCUGACGACAACCAUGCACCACCUGUCACUCUGUCCCCGAAGGGAACGUCCUAUCUCUAGGAAAAUCAAGAGGAUGUCAAGACCUGGUAAGGUUCUUCGCGUUGCGUCGAAUUAAACCACAUGCUCCACCGCUUGUGCGGGCCCCCGUCAAUUCUUUUGAGUUUCAGCCUUGCGGCCGUACUCCCCAGGCGGAGUGCUUAAUGCGUUAACUUCAGCACUAAGGGGCGGAAACCCCCUAACACCUAGCACUCAUCGUUUACGGCGUGGACUAC
rnacentral:misc_RNA from 1 species